rnacentral:rRNA from 1 species
GAUGAACGCUGGCGGCAUGCCUUACACAUGCAAGUCGAACGGUAACGGGCCUUCGGGUGCCGACGAGUGGCGAACGGGUGAGUAAUGCAUCGGAACGUAUCCAAUAAUGGGGGAUAACGCACCGAAAGGUGUGCUAAUACCGCAUACGCCCUGAGGGGGAAAGUGGGGGACCGUAAGGCCUCACGUUAAUGGAGCGGCCGAUGCCUGAUUAGCUAGUUGGUGAGGUAAAGGCUCACCAAGGCGACGAUUAGUAGCUGGUCUGAGAGGACGACCAGCCACACUGGGACUGAGACACGGCCCAGACUCCUACGGGAGGCAGCAGUGGGGAAUUUUGGACAAUGGGCGCAAGCCUGAUCCAGCCAUGCCGCGUGAGUGAAGAAGGCCUUCGGGUUGUAAAGCUCUUUCGCAAGGAAAGAAAACUUAUCCCCUAAUACGGGAGGAGGAUGACGGUACCUUGAUAAGAAGCACCGGCUAACUACGUGCCAGCCGCCGCAGUAACAC